CUUUCCACGAAUGAGGAAAGAGAGAGUUGGUGACAGAGAGAUGGCAGAUCCCAUCCUUCCUUUUCUUGUGAUUCACUGAAAAUCAAAACACUGCGGAGUAUUCUGAAGACCUCAGUGAAUUAGUAGUGUACCAGGGCUCUAAAAUCUUGGAGAGUGACCUAGUGGCCAUAUGUAGAAGAUCAAAUCAGUCUGACAGUCUGCACACUCAGGAAGGUGAGUGCCACUACUCACAGAAUCUAUCAAUUUAGGUCAAUUUAAUUUCAU
rnacentral:lncRNA from 1 species